GUGGGGAAUAUUGGGCAAUGGGCGCAAGCCUGACCCAGCAACGCCGCGUGAAGGAAGAAGGCUUUCGGGUUGUAAACUUCUUUUACCAGGGACGAAACAAAUGACGGUACCUGGUGAAUAAGCCACGGCUAACUACGUGCCAGCAGCCGCGGUAAUACGUAGGUGGCGAGCGUUAUCCGGAUUUAUUGGGUGUAAAGGGCGUGUAGGCGGGACAGCAAGUCAGAUGUGAAAACCAGAGGCUCAACCUCUGGCCUGCAUUUGAAACUGUUGUUCUUGAGUGUCGGAGAGGUAAGCGGAAUUCCGUGUGUAGCGGUGAAAUGCGUAGAUAUACGGAGGAACACCAGUGGCGAAGGCGGAUUACUGGACGAUAACUGACGCUGAGGCGCGAAAGCGUGGGGAGCAAACAGGAUUAGAAACCCGUGUAGUCC
rnacentral:rRNA from 1 species